CUGGACAAAUCUCAACAUUGCAUUCUAUACGUUCUGAGCGGUUGCUUUCCCAGCCUUAAAAGAGAGAGGUGAUAAGAGUAUUCUUCUGUGUAAAGAGAAAGAUACCAUUUGCCAACCUGAUUGAUUUCUCUCUCUACAGUAACUACUUCCUCUAAAGAGAAGUUUGUUCACCCUGCAGCACCUGACAACUGCCUUUGGGGCUCAAUCCUCUCUGAUGGCAACAGUAUCUGAGAGCACUUUUGAGGCCUGAAGACACAGGUAACCCCGCUAAUAGCCCAAGUCUGCAAGCUUUAUUCAUGAGAAUGCUCUUUACUCAUGCGAGUACUCCCACUGGCUUCAAUGGACCCCUAAGUGCAUAGCUGACAGAGAGAGAAGUGAUGUACGGGAAUUAGAGCUUUUCAAGCUGAAUUGCAUCUGAGAUGAGGACUGCAGACAAAGUGUAUCCAGACAUUCAGUGGCAUAUGCUGCCUUCCUAAGACCAACUUAUGAGAUCCUAAAAUGGAGCUAUAACAGCUGCUUUCUCACUAAAGUGAGGUCUAUAUCUUAGGACUGAGAUCCUUCCCUGGACAACCUCCCCUCCUGAUAGACUGUUCCUGAUUCCAUACUACCUAAGUGGCAGCUACUGUAAUCCGUAUUAUAACAUAGUGACUUUAGGACAAUAUUACAAAGGCAAAAUUAAAAUAAAUUCUCUUUAACGCCUUGUGUAUAGGUGGUCAGUUACAGUCUCCAUUUUGUCUCCUUGCUGUUUGUUUAUUCUCCCUGGAUGGAGGAUUUUACACUAUUGGAACAGAACCCCCUUUCAUGUCUUGUA